CAGAUUCAGAGUUGGACAUGGUGCGAAGUCAGUACUUUGCAUUGCUCCACAGUGGAAAGAAAAAGGAAUGUAAGAUGUCGAAGGAGCUCUGUUGCAGACUUGUAAGGAACACAGUGACCAGCAUGGUUGCAAUCCUCCGUGCUAGUCCCAUGGGGAAAGAAGUAAGAUACCCCUCCAAACUCGAAAUGAGAGCAAUGUCACAGAAGAUUGUCGACUAUUACCCCAUGUUACGUGAUGCUGACACACACAUGCCAUACCUGACCAUCUACACAAAACUGUACAAACGACUCCAAAAUAUGAAGUCUCCAAGGAAGAGGCAGGGCUCCAUGCCGCAACGAGGCAGGCCCAGGAAGACUCUUUUCAGCUCAGACGACACAGACAAUGGGACUGAAGGUGACCUAAGUGGUGAAGCAAGUGGUUCAAGUGACUAUACCAUACUUCUUGAGAGCAAUGAUGACCUCAGCGAGGAUAACUCAAAUGCAGAGAAAGAAUCCCAAUUGCCGCUACCCUCCACUGUACCAACUACG
ensembl:lncRNA